CUGGUUUGUUCCUGUAUGUGACAGACUGUAACUUUAAAGGGAUACUAUAAGUGCCAGGAAUACAAAGCUGUAUUCCUGGCACUAUAGCCCUAUUGUCUCCCCUUCCCUCUUGUGCCUCCUCCCCGGUGAAUAAAGGUUAUAACCCCUUUUUUUUUACUUAUCUUACACCAACGCCGAUGUCCCUCGGCAUUGGCUCGCGGCUCUUCCUCCUUUUCUAUCCUGAGACGAGCGUGCGCUUAUGUGCACGCGCAGCAAAUGCUGCACGGCAUUAGACCUCCCCAUGAGAAAGCAUUGAAUCAGUGCUUUUCUAUGGGGAACAAUCUGAUGCUCGAUGUCCUCAUAUAGAGCGUGAGGGCAUCCAGCAUCAGAUACCGGACCAAAGGUCCAUUUGGAUGCAGGAAGCAUCUCCAGUGACUUUCUGAGAGACAACCAUUGGAAGCAGACUUAGUGCUACAAUGUAAACAUUGGAGUUUCUCUGGAAUUGCAAUAUGGACACCACCCAGACCACUUAAAUGAGCUGUAAUGGUCUGAUUGCCCCUUUAAGAAAUUUGCAGGAUUGUUUAGCAUGUAGCAGAUUUUUUUUCUCUAGGCCACAUUGUACUUCUGAAUAUUGCAGUUCCACAUGUAUAUAUCAUUCACUUUAAAAGUACAGUGGAUUUCAAAGAUAAACAAUUCUAAAUUUGAUGAAAAUCUUUUUUUUAUUUUAAAUUUUUUUUUAAUAGUAAU